ACUCAAAAAUUUAGCUAAUUGAUCUAAUUUGAACUUAUCUCAAUCAAAGUCACUUGGUUUAUCCUCAUUUGAACUCAUUAGAAAAGCUUUGAUGCCCCAAAAUUUCAAAUUCUCAUAAAAAAUCAUAAGGUGCUUCUAACUCAUGCUCAAGUCGACUCGAAUGAAAAUUCGAGUCGACAUGAGUGUCGAGAUCAUAGUUUUAUAAGAAGACCCGCAAAACCAUCCUGUGCCCUAACUCUUCUCAAAACUGUUCC
rnacentral:lncRNA from 1 species